AUUAAAUCUCAAAUCAACUUCUGCAAAUGAUUUAAUAUAAUAAAGUUUAAUCUCUUUAUCAUGUAGAUUUAGGACGUAGAAAAAUUUAAAAAUGAUGAGAAAUGGCUUCUAGGAAUUUCAAUUCAGAAUUAAAAACUAAACCAUUCAUGUGUGAAAUUCCUAUAGAGGUUUAAUUUCUGGAAGAAUAGCAAUUUAGUAAAAUUUUUUAGCAGUUUGGACAUUGGCAUCAUACAUGGAUAACAAGAACUCUGCCUACCUGCAACUGUUCUUCAACAUUCUGGACCUAUCUGUCCUAAAUACGUCAUAUGAACAUAAAUUUAUGAAAAUCUGUAAUGCAUAUGUGCAUUUGCCAUCUC
rnacentral:misc_RNA from 1 species